UGGGGGAUAUUGCACAAUGGGCGAAAGCCUGAUGCAGCGACGCCGCGUGAGGGAAGACGGCCUUCGGGUUGUAAACCUCUGUCAUUCGGGACGAAGUAUGACGGUACCGAAGAAGGAAGCUCCGGCUAACUACGUGCCAGCAGCCGCGGUAAUACGUAGGGAGCGAGCGUUGUCCGGAAUUACUGGGUGUAAAGGGAGCGUAGGCGGGAAAGCAAGUUGGAAGUGAAAUGCAUGGGCUUAACCCAUGAGCUGCUUUCAAAACUGUUUUUCUUGAGUGAAGUAGAGGCAGGCGGAAUUCCUAGUGUAGCGGUGAAAUGCGUAGAUAUUAGGAGGAACACCAGUGGCGAAGGCGGCCUGCUGGGCUUUAACUGACGCUGAGGCUCGAAAGCGUGGGUAGCAAACA
rnacentral:rRNA from 1 species